rnacentral:rRNA from 1 species
GAUUCUGGCUCAGGAUGAACGCUGGCGGCGUGCUUAAUACAUGCAAGUCGAACGAAGACAUCUCGCCGAAGCUUGCUUCAUUGAGAUAUCUUAGUGGCGGACGGGUGAGUAACGCGUGGGUAACCUGCCUUACACAGGGGGAUAACAGUUAGAAAUGACUGCUAAUACCGCAUAAGCGCACAUUAUCGCAUGAUAGAGUGUGAAAAGAUUUAUCGGUGUAAGAUGGACCCGCGUCUGAUUAGCUAGUUGGUGAGGUAACGGCCCACCAAGGCGACGAUCAGUAGCCGGCCUGAGAGGGUGAACGGCCACAUUGGGACUGAGACACGGCCCAAACUCCUACGGGAGGCAGCAGUAGGGAAUAUUGGACAAUGGGGGAAACCCUGAUCCAAGCGACGCCGCGUGAGUGAAGAAGUAUUUCGGUACGUAAAGCUCUAUCAGCAGGGAAGAAAAUGACGGUACCUGACUAAGAAGCACCGGCUAAAUACGUGCCAGCAGCGGC